GUCCAUGCCGUAAACGUUGGGCACUAGGUGUGGGGGACAUUCCACGUUUUCCGCGCCGUAGCUAACGCAUUAAGUGCCCCGCCUGGGGAGUACGGCCGCAAGGCUAAAACUCAAAGGAAUUGACGGGGGCCCGCACAAGCGGCGGAGCAUGCGGAUUAAUUCGAUGCAACGCGAAGAACCUUACCAAGGCUUGACAUGAACCGGUAAUACCUGGAGACAGGUGCCCCGCUUGCGGUCGGUUUACAGGUGGUGCAUGGUUGUCGU
rnacentral:rRNA from 1 species